GAGGGUAUAGCUCAGUGGUUGAGCACAUGGUUAGCAUGCACAAGGUCCUGGGUUCAAUCCCCAGUGCCUCCA
rnacentral:tRNA from 1 species